rnacentral:rRNA from 1 species
CAUACAAGGCAUACGGCUCAGUAACGCGUAGUCAACCUAACCUAUGGACGGGAAUAACCUCGGGAAACUGAGAAUAAUGCCCGAUAGAACAUUAUGCCUGGAAUGGUUUAUGUUCCAAAUGAUUUAUCGCCGUAGGAUGGGACUGCGGCCUAUCAGUUUGUUGGUGAGGUAAUGGCCCACCAAGACUAUUACAGGUACGGGCUCUGAGAGGAGUAGCCCGGAGAUGGGUACUGAGACACGGACCCAGGCCCUAUGGGGCGCAGCAGGCGAGAAAACUUUGCAAUGUGCGAAAGCACGACAAGGUUAAUCCGAGUGGUUUCUGCUAAAGAAACCUUUUGUCAGUCCUAGAAACACUGAUGAAUAAGGGGUGGGCAAGUUCUGGUGUCAGCCGCCGCGGUAAAACCAGCACCUCAAGUGGUCAGGAUGAUUAUUGGGCCUAAAGCAUCCGUAGCCGGCUCUGUAAGUUUUCGGUUAAAUCUGUACGCUCAACGUACAGGCUGCCGGGAAUACUGCAGAGCUAGGGAGUGGGAGAGGUAGACGGUACUCGGUAGGAAGGGGUAAAAUCCUUUGAUCUAUUGAUGACCACCUGUGGCGAAGGCGGUCUACCAGAACACGUCCGACGGUGAGGGAUGAAAGCUGGGGGAGCAAACCGGAUUAGAUACCCGGGUAGUCCCAGCUGUAAACUAUGCAAACUCAGUGAUGCAUUGGCUUGUGGCCAAUGCAGUGCUGCAGGGAAGCCGUUAAGUUUGCCGCCUGGGAAGUACGUACGCAAGUAUGAAACUUAAAGGAAUUGGCGGGGGAGCACCACAAGGGGUGAAGCCUGCGGUUCAAUUGGAGUCAACGCCGGA